CGGCGGACGGGUGAGUAACACGUGGAUAACCUACCUAUAAGACUGGGAUAACUUCGGGAAACCGUAGCUAAUACCGGAUAAUAUAUUGAACCGCAUGGUUCAAUAGUGAAAGACGGUUUUGCUGUCACUUAUAGAUGGAUCCGCGCCGCAUUAGCUAGUUGGUAAGGUAACGGCUUACCAAGGCAACGAUGCGUAGCCGACCUGAGAGGGUGAUCGGCCACACUGGAACUGAGACACGGUCCAGACUCCUACGGGAGGCAGCAGAC
rnacentral:rRNA from 1 species